rnacentral:lncRNA from 7 species
AGACUUCUGUGAGGCAAGUUAAGGACAUAGGAUUUGCAUAGAAUGAGACUGACAAGGCCAUGAAGCAUCUAAUCAGCUUGUCAGCUGCAUCCUGCAGGUUGCUACGACAAAAGAUUUUCUCCAAAAUAUACAGGAUGCCAUGGAGACUGACUGAAAAAAAGCUCUUAAUCCCUGCUUUGCUGGUGCUGACAGGAGAAUAGAUCUCUAGACACAUAGCAUAUUUGGCUCUGUAAUCUGCAGUGAACCAUGCACUGAAUUUCUGCCUCUGCAGUAUGAGACUGAGAGGAAGAAUGCAUGGAGUGAUACCCCAGAUGCAGUGUGGGAGUGUUUGCUGAGCUACACCAGACUACACCAGAAAGAGAGGAAAAUUCUCUUUACACUGGAUAACUUAAAACUGCACUGAUUCCAAGAAACUGCAUUGACUCCAAGAACUGAUGAAGGAACUUGACAAGUAUCAUGUAAACGUCUCCUGGCACAGAGAUAUGACUUGGCCUAAGAGAUACCCUUCAUGACUGUUGUCUAAUACCAACAUGUUUUAAAUGGCAGCCUUAUGUCUAGCAUUGCUUUUGGCCUUUCUCCUCCUCACAUCCUCAUAGCCUUAGCAAUGUCUAGCUGUGGGUAUUCCUCCAACCCCAUAUCAUCCACUCUUUAAAUUGAAUUGGAAGAUUUGGACGCUUUUCUUUCAUUAAAAUGUAAAACAAACAAAAGAAAAAAAUUGAAACAACAACAACAAAACAAACAAACAAACAAAAAAACCAACCCACAAACAAAACCAAAACAAAACAGAACACAGGUUGAACUAUGACAGCACACACGUCAGUGCAACCCAGGCUCAGGUCUUUCUGGCAGAUACCUGGCAAGGAGUGCGCAAGUAUGACAAUGGUGCAGUGGUAUUCUGCUGUAACACCAUCCUGCCCUUGUGCUGUGCUCUGUAAGGGAUGUAGGCUUUGUGACUGCUUGGCUCAGUGCACAGACAGUGUUUCAUGAUCUUGAAAGUUUUACCAAAUUAACAAUCUUUACUGAAGCAUAGAUGUAGCGGAGCCUCAUCCAACACUAUGAAUAGGAUAAACAUGCUGGGUUACAUUCAUUUUGCACUUCAUAUUUGUAUAUAAAUCUAAAAUAACUCUGUAAAAACAUGAAAAGUAAGUUUGCACAGUGAAGGCAAAAGGAUGCACUGGUCAGGAUGCGCUCACUUUUUAGGCUUUCAGAUGAGGUAUCUUAAAUAGGAGCUUAAUUCCUCCAGGUGCUCUUCUCAAAGGAAAUACAGAUGUCUUCCACAUAAAGGAUCAGCUUUGUAUAGAAAAGGUCACCGAAGUUACUCCAAUUAUGUUUUCUAAGAAUUAUGGUUUAUCUGUCAUUUGCUACAAAUUGUCUCAUUGUCUUCCUGCCUCUGAACACCUCAACUGCUGAAUUUCUUAAAAAAAUAAAUAAAUAAAAUGAAAUUGCAC